rnacentral:rRNA from 1 species
AACGAACGCUGGCGGCGUGCCUAACACAUGCAAGUCGAGCGCGAAUGGAGCAAUCCUAGUAGAGCGGCGCACGGGUGCGUAACACGUGGGUAAUCUGCCCAGGAGACGGAGAUAACCAGCCGAAAGGUUGGCUAAUAUCCGGUAAGCCUCCGAGGACUUCGGUCUUCGAAGGAAAAGGUGGCCUCUGUAUACAAGCUAUCACUUCUGGAUGAGCCCGCGGCCCAUCAGCUAGUUGGCGGGGUAAUGGCCCACCAAGGCGACGACGGGUAGCUGGUCUGAGAGGACGAUCAGCCACACUGGAACUGAGACACGGUCCAGACUCCUACGGGAGGCAGCAGUGGGGAAUUUUGCGCAAUGGGCGAAAGCCUGACGCAGCAACGCCGCGUGUGUGAUGAAGGUCUUUGGAUUGUAAAGCACUUUCGACCGGGACGAAAACCCGUUGGCUAACAUCCAGCGGCUUGACUGUACCGGGAGAAGAAGCACCGGCUAACUCUGUGCCAGCCGCCGCCGUAAAAC